UUUUUUCAGCAUCGAGACUUAAUACUUGUUUAAAACAAAGAACAAAAAAUUAAUUUUAAAUUCAAUUACAUAUACAGUCGGAAUGUUUGUAUCUACAUGCACAAUUAAAAACACUCAUGUUAAGGUUCAAAACAAAAUUCAAAGCUCUUUUUUUGUAUAAAAGAGUCAAAUGAAAAAGGAACUAGUUCCUUUUGUGAAGCGGAACUAAAAGGAGCGAUCACUAAAAGGAACUAAAAUGCUCACCUUUUGUUCACUGGAAUGGUUUCUUUAACAACAUAUCAUGCAGUGGUCUGCUACGUGCGGACAGAUCAGGUGUGAACGACCCGUAGUAUGAUAACUACAAUUCCUCAUGGCUUGUUGGCUGAGGAGCAUUCCGUCCCUGACAAUUCUAUGGUCUAAAAAAUUCCACUGACGUUGCACCAAAUAUGCAUUUAGAACGAUUUAGCUUCAGUCCUUUAUCUCUCAAGCGCACCAAAGCAGUCUUGAAUACGGACAUCAACUCAUCAAAAUCAUUCGCAUAGAUUAAUAUAUCAUCGAAAAAGAUGCACACGUUCGGAAUGCCCUGCAAAACAGACUUCACAGCCCGCUGCCAUAUUGCUGCCAUAUUUGCAACGCCAUACAAUCAUGGUGGACAUAUUCAAUGUAAGGGCAUGUGUCAAGUCCUCCUCGACCUUCAGCGCCAGCUCUACUUAGCCAUCCAUUUCGUCCGGCUCUUCGGAAACUUGUGCAGUUCUUGAUUUUCAUACUUUUGUAAUGUGACCGCUUUUUUCGCAUCGGUAACAUCUCAUGUUACGGAAUUUAAAAAAAGGUUCCUGGUUCCAUGGUUUCCAUCAAAAACUUAGCACUUUGACCGACCUAUGUUAGUGUUUUUCACACUGUCCUUGCUGGCUCCACGUAUGCUGACAACGAAACUGUAAUCGCAGCAGAAUCUAGAGAUGAGGACAGCAGGAUGGCGGUAGAAAUGAGCGAGGGCUUUGUUAAGCUCACAAGAAGACCGAUAAAGCAAGGAGAUAGAAGAGUAUGAUACGUCGACAACGCAAUCGGGCGAAAGUGCAGGAUGCUGGAAGAGAUAAAACUGACAUUCCAGGCACUUCUACGGUAUUCUGCCGAGGGAGACAAAGCCCGAACAGGAACGAAGGAAGCACGCAUGGUCCCUGAGUCUUAAUGGAGGACUGUGACUUCCAAAAGGAGGCUACAGCCAUCACGGAAGGAGAAGAUGUUCGCUGAGAAAGAUAAGGAGCCGCCCUAUUAUGCUAGAGUGCCAACCGGUAGGAUUCCACCAGAUCAUCGGUCCCAAGUAGAGCAUCUAGUAAACGAACUGGUUUUCGAACAUCUGUUGAACUCUGAAGAGGGUCCACCCAUGCAAAUUAAGAGCUGCGAGACUAGAGGGGAUCUUUACGCUGCGCUUUGCGUCAACAGAAUGUAUUGAUACUAGAAGAAUCCACACUCCCUGUGGUGCAAAAGUUGCCCUUGUGAGAAAGAUGGCGACGGUGUUCAUUAGGGCCACGGUCUUCAUCAAGAGUGAGGGCGGAAAAUACGCAACGUAACGCAUGAUAGAAGUCUUAAAUAAGCAAAACCAAGAUUUAGUCGUGAAGAAAUGGGAGGCCUUUAACAGGGAGGAGAAGGAAAAAGUAAGCAAUUGAAUAUAAAUAAUUAAAACAAAUGUUUAAAUGUAAAUAUUUGAGUGUAGUUAUCAAUAGUAUGAAAAAUGUAAAUAAACACUUUUUUCGUAAUUAGGA